GUGUCAGCCGCCGCGGUAAUACCCGCUCCCCGAGUGGUGGGGACGCUUAUUGGGCCUAAAGCAUCCGUAGCCGGCUGGGUAAGUCCCCUGUUAAAUCCAGCGAUUUAAUCGCUGGACUGCGGGGGAUACUGCCCAGCUAGGGGGCGGGAGAGGCCGGCGGUAUUCCCGGGGUAGGGGUGAAAUCCUAUAAUCCCGGGAGGACCACCAGUGGCGAAGGCUGCCGGCUGGAACGCGCCCGACGGUGAGGGAUGAAAGCUGGGGGAGCGAACCGGAUUAGAUACCCCCGUAGUCC
rnacentral:rRNA from 1 species